UACGGAGGGUGCGAGCGUUGUUCGGAAUCACUGGGCGUAAAGCGCGUGUAGGCGGCCCAUUAAGUCUGAUGUGAAAGCCCGGGGCUCACCCCCGGAAGUGCAUUGGAAACUGAUGGACUCGAGUCCCGGAGAGGAGAGUGGAAUUCCUGGUGUAGCGGUGAAAUGCGUAGAUAUCAGGAGGAACACCGGUGGCGAAGGCGGGUUACUGGGCUGAUACUGACGCUGAUGCGCGAAAGCCAGGGGAGCAAACGGG
rnacentral:rRNA from 1 species